CUGCUGCAAGUUCGGCAAAGCCUGAAGACCCAAGAACUGACAUUGAUUUUGGUGACAGCGAGGACACUGCCCUCAGUACGACCUCCAGUACCUCCAGCGCUACGUCCAGUGCUUGUGUCAAUUGCUUGGACCGACCUGCUCUGCGCUGCCGCUCCAUUGGUGCAAGCCAAACAGCAGACCAGGCCUGCCAGACUGAUGAUGCUGAUACCUGAGUACCUUUGGUUGAGUUUCUGUGCUGCAUGGACGGGCAUGGUAAAAGCACACAGGUCUCGCACACAACUAUUUGCAAUGCAGAAGUUCAGUGUAGCCCUUCAACAACCUCACGUCACAGUGGGCCAAGCCAGCGAAUUUCGUCUUUCAAUAGCUACGAAAGGGUUAGGUUAUGUUCUAGUGCUGUCAAGUCAUGUUCAUGUUCUAGUACCGAAAGCGUUAAGUCAUGUUCUAGUGUUCCAGUGUCUGUGGUGUUACAUUAGAAAUAUAUGCCGCUUUAUUUGCGCCGCUGCCUGUGGCUGCUGAUCGCUCUUGUGAUGUAUCGAUGCAUGACGGACUAUUGAUUUUUUGUUGAAGCUAAAGUUAGGAAUUUUCUACUUAUCACUAGCAGUAUUAUUUUCCACAAGCAGGUUGACCACUGUUAGACACUUCAAUGGUGUGCUUCGCACAUUAGCUACUGCAACUGAAAAAUGGAUAUUCAUUCCACCCAGACACAUCCUUAGAUCACUGAUGUCUGAUUGUUUCAAAUUGCACUGCCCAAACUGGACCAUGAUUAUCGAUUGCACAGAGGUUUCGACAGAGCAGCCAGCUUCUGUAACAGAGCAAAAGGCACUUUAUUGAAACUACUAGAGUCGCUUCACGCUGAAAUUUCUUGUAGCGAUCAAACGAAGUGUAGCUGUGUGUUUUCAUUCGAAAGCAUAUGGUGGAAGGUGUUCCGAUGCUUUUGUAACCUUAAAUUCUGACUUUCUGGAAAAAUAAAAACCAGGCGACAUGAUCAUGUCUGAUAAGGGAUUUCCUGGCAUUACUACAGAUCUCGGGAAGGCAGGGGCUGUACUUGUUAUGUCUCCUUUUCCCAGAGGCUAAGGCCAGUUUACUGAGGCUGAAGUACAGCUGAUUUAUAAACUUUCAAGGGUACGAAUUCGGGUGGAGCGCAUAAUUCAAUGAGUCAAAAUGUACAAUGUUUUAGGUACACGCGUGCCCAAUGAAUUAAUUUCGGCCAUGUCCAAUAUUUUCCACAUGUGUUGCGAACUGGCAAAUAUUCAGCCUCCAAUAAUAAAGGUGUCAACUGCUGCA